UACCAGCACCCCGAGUGGUCGGGACGAUUAUUGGGCCUAAAGCAUCCGUAGCCGGUUCUACAAGUCUUCCGUUAAAUCCACCUGCUUAACAGAUGGGCUGCGGAGGAUACUAUGGAGCUAGGAGGCGGGAGAGGCAAGCGGUACUUAGUGGGUAGGGGUAAAAUCCGUUGAUCCAUAGAAGACCACCAGUGGCGAAGGCGGCUUGCCAGAACGCGCUCGACGGUGAGGGAUGAAAGCUGGGGGAGCAAACCGG
rnacentral:rRNA from 1 species